CUCUGGACUGCGGUAUUUUGAAAGCUGUUUACAGAAAAGGCAUCAGAGUGGACAAGGCCAAUUUUAUGGUUGGGAGUUACAGACCCAAAACGGAGGAGCACAUCUUCCAGAGUCCCGUGGAUGAGUUACCCGCGGGUUUGUUAGGCCGUGGUGACUAUAUUGUCAAGAGUAAAUUCACAGACGAUGACAAGAAUAUCUACUUGGAGUGGGAGUGGAGUUUCUCCGUUAAGAGAGAUUGGGAAUAAGAUUAUAGUGAUGAUUUCCUACAAAGGAAAUUGGUCUACUGGAAGUGCGGUUUACUUGUAGAUGAUGCUGUUGGUGUUUGAAGGGGUACAUCAUGAAUGUGAAAUUCUUAAUUAAAUUUAUGUUAUCAUGGUUCAGCAAGUAUAGGGAUUAUGUUAGUUAAAUGUAUGCCACAACAUAUACAAUGAAUAUGUAAUUGAUUUUUUUCCCAAAGUGGCACUUUUUUUUUGAAGGAAUUAAUUGUGGCAUUAGUCAUCAGCAUUGCCAAUGAUGACUUUUUUUUAGUCUCUCAGAAAAAGGAACUGCAUGUUUCCCCCCCCCAAAAAAAAUGUGUACAUGUAUAUGGAUGCCAUCAUCUAUGUACAGAACAAAACAAAUGACGUAUACUUGUUUUGUAUGAACAUUGCCUUUUCUCAUUUUAUCAGAGCAACUUGUACAACUCUUUCAUUUUGUGGAAGUCUAUAAAACAACGCAUUUAUUAGGAAAUACAUUUUGAUGAUGCUAUUUGUUGUAAUCGCUUAUUAAGUUACUUUUGGGAAUAAAUGAUACAUGUUAGUUGUAUAGCAGGCUUUAUUUUAUCUUUGCAGCCUGCCUCAGGCUGUAAUUAGACUAUUUUGCCAUAGAUAUAGAUAUUUUCUGUUGUUAUAUUUUAAUUAUUAAAGGUUUGGUUUAAUAUAUGGUUUUGCUUUAGGUGCAUAAUAUGAUGUUAUAUUUCCGCAAUGAUGUAUGGCUUGUUUGCCAUAGUAGUGAUCUGGUGUCUUCUAUGUUGUCAUCUAAUUCAUGGAGAUUUUGACCAAGCGCUUUGGGAACCUGGUAACAUAAAGCCACCAGUAUUACAACAGUUGCAUGCCUACCACCCGGCAAGCUUUUUUUGUCAGCACUAGAAUGUAGUUUCUUUAAUGAAAGCAUGGAAUACAUUACCUCAUCAAAUAACGAUCAGCCCAUGUUGGCAUAAAUAU